rnacentral:rRNA from 1 species
AUUGAACGCUGGCGGCAUGCCUUACACCUGCAAGUCGAACGGCAGCGGACCUUCGGGUGCCGGCGAGUGGCGAACGGGUGAGUAAUGCAUCGGAACGUGCCAUUGAGUGGGGGAUAACGUAGCGAAAGUUACGCUAAUACCGCAUAUUCUGUGAGCAGGAAAGCAGGGGGACCGCAAGGCCUUGCGCUCUUUGAGCGGCCGAUGUCAGAUUAGCUAGUUGGUGAGGUAAAGGCUUACCAAGGCGACGAUCUGUAGCGGGUCUGAGAGGAUGAUCCGCCACACUGGAACUGAGACACGGUCUAGACUCCUACGGGAGGCAGCAGUGGGGGAAUUUUGGACAAUGGGCGCAAGCCUGAUCCAGCCAUGCCGCGUGAGUGAAGAA